UACGUAGGGUGCGAGCGUUAAUCGGAAUUACUGGGCGUAAAGCGUGCGCAGGCGGUUUUGUAAGCCAGAUGUGAAAGCCCCGGGCUUAACCUGGGAAUGGCAUUUGGGACUGCAAGGCUGGAGUUUGGCAGAGGAGACUGGAAUUCCUGGUGUAGCAGUGAAAUGCGUAGAUAUCAGGAGGAAUACCGAUGGCGAAGGCAGGUCUCUGGGCUAUAACUGACGCUCAUGCACGAAAGCGUGGGGAGCAACAGG
rnacentral:rRNA from 1 species